AUUGAACGCUGGCGGCAGGCCUAACACAUGCAAGUCGAGCGAGCGGCGGACGGGUGAGUAAUGUAUGGGGACCGCCCGCUAGAGGGGGAUAACUACUGGAAACCGUAUCUAAAACCGCACUCUAUCCGCUUCCCCACAUGGGAUUAGCUAGUAGGUGGGGUAAUGGCUCACCUAGGCGACGAUCCCUAGCUGGUCUGAGAGGAUGAUCGGCCACACUGGGACUGAGACACGGCCCAGACGCCUACGGAGGCAGCAGUGGGGAAUAUUGGACAAUGGGCGCAAGCCUGAUGCAGCCAUGCCGCGUGUAUGAAGAAGGCCUUAGGGUUGUAAAGUACUGUCAGUCGGGAGGCGUUACCGAAAGAAGAAGCACCGGCUAACUCCGUGCCAGCAGCCGCGGUAAUAC
rnacentral:rRNA from 1 species